CGCGUUCACCAGAAUAAUCCGAGUGCAAUCCGAUUAAUUUGCGCUGAAACGCUGACAGUUUUUUUACUAGUGAACGACUGACGUUUGACAUUCGAUUGAGAGUGUUCUGUGUUCCAUUUGUUUAUUUUUUUAUUCUUUGUUUAUAUAAUUUAUAACCUAGACAGUUUUGUUUUUAAAUAAAACUGAAACUGUGUCUAAGCUAAAAUGGAUAAUAUUCUUGAAGAAUUUUUGUUUGGGGACGAAAUUAGCAAAUGCCGUUAUACAUUUAGCAGAUGUACCUGCCUCACAAUUAUUCCAGAAGGAUGAGAUGAAAUUAAAUAUAUAUAAACCAUAAUUCAAUAUCCAAUUUAGAGAACAUUUUCGUAUGUCCAGAACUACUUUCCAGGAACUAUUUAAUUGUAUUGGUCAUAUCCACCAAUUUGAAAACAGAAUAAUUCUAUUGGAAAAAAUUAAUGUUUAUGAUGUGGAUGCUAAGUAAACCAGAGAAUUUGUUGCUGGGGAUACGUUUGGUUUGCCAAAGAGCUCUGGACAUAAGAUUUUCACCCAAAUAAUAUAGAAUUACAAAAAAUUGGAAAUAACUAAUCUUGAAUAUCAAUGUGUAUAUUGAGUUUAAUUUUAUUGUAAAUAUUCUAUAAUAUAAUUUUAUUGUAAAUAUUGUAUUAACACAUUUGUGGACACAUCUUCAUAUGCAGACAGUAAUUUCCCUUUGUAAGUACAUGCAUAUUAGUCGUAUCUGCGAAUGGGUUAAUUGUAAAUCGUAAUCAAUAAAAAUUUUUUGUGAAUCAAUAAAAAACUGGUUUGUUUGAAAAUAAAUGUAGUACAAAUGUG